rnacentral:piRNA from 1 species
UGCUGGAGUAGUUUCGCGAUGACGGA